rnacentral:snRNA from 1 species
CGAACUUCGAAAGGGGAU